rnacentral:lncRNA from 1 species
AACUCUUUAAAGAAGAAAAAAGUGGAGGACUUUUACAUUUAUAGCUGCUGAGGUUCGUUUUCAAGUGAUAAUUUACCAUCAACGAAGUGUAAAGCUGUCUACAACUGUGAUUGACUUUCAGAACUCAUGUGUAUAAUUCAACUGCUUGUUGUAUAAAUUUGUUUGUGUCAAAUGACAAAAUCUACAAAUUCUCCAGAGGGAAACUGACGACAGGUUUUAUCUCUGAAGCCAUUGAGCGCA